UCCAACAGCGUGCCGCACGCCGACGCGCCCUUCUCCGUUCUCGACCUGCGACCCGGCACGCGCUACCUGCUGCGCCUCACCGCGCACAACAGCGCCGGCUCCACCGUCGCCCUCUACGACUUCGUCACGCUCGAUGACGAGACAGGUGUCGUCGCGCCAGAGCUAAUUGUGCAGGCUGGCUGGAGGAACGGCCAUUUCUGGAGAAAUCCCGCCAUCAUUGUUACUCUUAUAGCUGUCCUCGUGGCUUUUAUCGUCGCUGGAGUGGUGCUCUUCUCAUACUUACGCAGGAAACGAGAGAGGUUCCCAGCAGGAAGGAAAGAGUCAGCGUCGGCAGAGGGGGAGGAGGUGGCGGGCCUGGGGGAGAAGGCGAGCUACGUGAGCGGGAACGGCGUGCUGUCGCGCCACUGCCGCAGCCACAGCGAC